rnacentral:tRNA from 1 species
GUCUCAGUAGCACAGUGGAUAGUGCACAGCCCCGGAUAGGCUGAGACGCGGGUUCGAAUCCUGCCUGAGAUG